GACGAAGGGGGCUAGCGUUAAUCGGAAUUACUGGGCGUAAAGCGUGCGCAGGCGGUUGUGCAAGACAGAUGUGAAAUCCCCGGGCUCAACCUGGGAAUUGCAUUUGUGACUGUACGGCUAGAGUGUGUCAGAGGGGGGUAGAAUUCCACGUGUAGCAGUGAAAUGCGUAGAGAUGUGGAGGAAUACCGAUGGCGAAGGCAGCCCCCUGGGAUAACACUGACGCUCAUGCACGAAAGCGUGGGGAGCAAACAGG
rnacentral:rRNA from 1 species